rnacentral:rRNA from 1 species
GACGAACGCUGGCGGCGUGCUUAACACAUGCAAGUCGAACGGAAAGGCCCUGCUUUUGUGGGGUGCUCGAGUGGCGAACGGGUGAGUAACACGUGAGUAACCUGCCCUUGACUUUGGGAUAACUUCAGGAAACUGGGGCUAAUACCGGAUAGGAGCUCCUGCUGCAUGGUGGGGGUUGGAAAGUUUCGGCGGUUGGGGAUGGACUCGCGGCUUAUCAGCUUGUUGGUGGGGUAGUGGCUUACCAAGGAUUUGACGGGUAGCCGGCCUGAGAGGGUGACCGGCCACAUUGGGACUGAGAUAAGGCCCAGACUCCUACGGGAGGCAGCAGUGGGGAAUAUUGCACAAUGGGCGGAAGCCUGAUGCAGCAACGCCGCGUGCGGGAUGAAGGCCUUCGGGUUGUAAACCGCUUUCGCCUGUGACGAAGCGUGAGUGACGGUAAUGGGUAAAGAAGCACCGGCUAACUACGUG